CUCCCUGACCAAGACGACACCAUCCACUGGAACUUAACCACCUCGGGGACAUACUCGGCCGCCUUUGCCUACGAUGCGUAGUUCCUUGGCUCCUACUCACGUUUCGACACAACCAAGGUCUGGUCUGCAAACGCUGAGUCCAAGUGCAAGUUCUUUGCUUGGCUUGCUCUACACAGAAGAAUCCUCACUGCGGAUAUGCUGGCUGUGAAGGGAUGGCCUCAUGAGCCCAGAUGCCUGCUCUGUCUCCAGCAGCCUGAAACAGCAACUCACCUCUACAAAGACUGCUCCUUCACGGUCGCGGUCUGGAACCAGGUGAACACCUGGACUAACGAAGGCGUUCCAAUCUCGGGCUUCCUCCCUGAGCCAGGAAACGUGUCAGACUGGUGGGACAAGACUCUCAUUUCGCAGCCCAAUCAAGUGCGCAAGAGGCGCAGUGGAAGAAUCAUCUACACGAUAUGGUCCAUAUGGAAGGAGCGGAAUAGGCGGGUGUUCACUGGACUAAGGUUGACGCAUCGCGAGGUGGCGUCUCUAGCCCUAGACGCAAUCAAUCAGCGCGACCUGGCGUUUGCUGGCAGCCUGCCAACCGCAGGCAUUGGUUAA
rnacentral:rRNA from 1 species